GCUCUUAUAGUUUUUGAGAUCUCAGCGUUUAUACGAGAGAGAUUAUACAGGACGCCAAGAUGUAGCCCAUUAUUGUACGACUUGACACCAGGGUGAAUCCCUGCCAUAGUAGAAGUCUUGGAGACAAUGCAAUCAAGAAUACAUUUCGAUCGAAGAAGGAGCAUGAACAGCGGGGCUUCUCUCCCUAAAUGGGCAUCCUGUGCGCUUGCCGUAUUAUUUUUAUAAUUGACAAUUAACAAUUUUUAAUUAACUUAAAGGGCUUUUAAUAAAUAUGCACAAGAUGCAAAAGCGUAAAAGUAAAAUCAAUCUGGAUGAAUAUCGGUACAAUAUGAAUGAAUACCACUUUAAAAUGAAAGAACACCAUUUUGAUGUAGAAUCAAAUGAGUUCUUUAUUAAAAAAUAACAUAUUAAUUAAUAUGUGAAUAUAUCAAUCUGGAUCACGGCUUACUCGUCAAGGCUUGAAUCCAAGGGUUAGAAUUUCGCUAGAGUCGAGGCUACAAGUUAUUUUCCUAUGAAAGAGUUCGUUAAUAAUUUACAAGUAAAACGAGCGGACAUUCUCUGGCAUUGAUAAUUAACUUUAAAAUUCAGACGCAAUAGUCGUCUCGACUAAACUCCUUUAAAGCGAUUACUGAAUACAUGAUAUUAUCAUCGAACUCAGGCCAUUGUCCGGAAGCAACUGCAAUCUUUUUUGAUUGGUUCCAGAAUUAUAUCUUCUUAGCGGAUAGCUCCAACUUUGUUUGCGAUUUGCUAAGGGCCUACAGCCCCACAAAAAACUGUAUUUGGCUGGAUAGGUAAACUGUAAAGAAAAUUUGUCUACACGGUCUGUUACACAUACUACUUUAGCACCUAUGAAGCCUAUGAUCGAUUUGAAAGCUUGUGGCCCUAUUGACGAAAGUGAUCUGUACGAUUUCGACUAAGCAGAAAUUCGUUGAUUAUAACUAUUUUAAACUAAAUAAACAAGUAGCUGAUAUAGUGGAUGGCACACAUUGCGUGUGACAACGGGUCACAAACUAUAUGCCGAUAGGCAUGUCUUUACAUCAUUUGUACUAACCCCUGAGUAGCCCCGGGCUUAACCCGAACAUCUGUAAUUAUUUAUUAAGCCUAUAUUUCUGUUAACUGAUAAUAAAAAUAUUGUACAUUUUUACCUAUAGCAGAUUAAACUAAAGAUCUUUGUAACCCCAAAUCAUAUAUAUAAGCCCGAAUCCAUGCUCAAUAAAAAAUCAGAACGAAUACGGAGAUAUAAAUCAGCAACUUUAACUUUGCGUUCAACUAACACACAAGUUCUAAUCAACUAAGCGAUUUGAACUAGAUGAAUUGCUGUUUCUCUGAUCAAUCUGUUCAGAGCCAAUUUACAUAUAUAUACUCCAUCGGUGCGGGUGGAGGCACAUAAAAUCCAAUUACCACUUAAGCGGAUUAUAUAAGAAAGUAGAUAUCAGUUCUUGAAAGAACAAUUAACUGUAAGAAAACCAAUUCACAAUGUCUUCGGAAUAAUAAAGAGGGCUCCACCGACAUGAAGACUAAACCAGCCAACUACAGAGAAUAAUAGCAAACGUUAAUGUUAAAAUCCUCCUUAAUGUUAAAUCUUCAAAAUAACUCCGGAGAAAUUCAAAUAAUUAGUUUUCUAAUGGAUCCACUUUAGAACACGAUUAUUUCCCAAAUGAAUUAAUUUAGUCAUUUCAUUAAAUAUUUAUGAAUUCUAUGUUUGUUACAAUGCCUGAAUAGUAAAAAAUCACCAAGAAUUAGGCGCAUUUUAUCGCUCAGUAAGACAACUUUAGCCCAUCUCGUCGGCUGUGCGUACAAUCGGUGGGCCAUAACCCAUUUAGCGGUCCGUCCUACCCUACAUCUCAUCGUCGGAGCUCACCUAACCUCCAUUUCCUCGGCUAGGCUCCAGAAAUCGGUGCAUCCUAAAACACAUCAUAUACGAAGAGCACAUCAGCUGCGAUCCUAACCUCAAUUCGUCAGUACAACGACCCGCAUUUUAAAUUGAUUAUAAAGUUGCCUACGUAAAUACAUACAACCUUUAUUUCUAACACACAAAUGUUAUAAGUUACUUGGCUUUCAAUCAUCAACUGCUUAAGGGCUCAUACCCAAUACAUAUACAAACACAUAUUUGGUCUAACUUGAUUCCUUGGUUUGUCUUCUUGUACUUUCUCUUGUCAUUUGUCUUCUGCCUUCACCAAACAUUUUUCCAAACUCUCUUUUCCCUCGUGACUACGCACAUUCUCCUCUCUGGCUUUUAUCCUGUGUACGACGCCGCACCGCACCAUGAUGAGCUUCACUUCAGCUUUUCUGUGCCGUUCAGUGAAAUUUUUUGUCGGACUUAGCUCAGGUUUGCUUUAUUUCGAUAUCGGAACGCUAUUUUCUUCCAGUGGGAUCUACCAGUAUCCAUCAUCAGGUCCAAACUGCGGAUGAGCCGCGCAUCCCUUAGUUGAGCAUACGAUGUAGUUUAUGAUGGGCAUUUGGUAUGCAUCUUUCAUAGACUUCACAUUGAUCUGCCAAAAGUCAACGCACAGUCUCCACUUAAAGCUUGAGUUUACCCCUAUGCCGAUUGUACCUUAGCAGCUAGCUUAGAUCCCUGGCCAUUUUCCGAUCGUUCGCAGCAGUUGACGCCCCUGACAUCCAUUUUGCCGCAGAAUAAAAGCCGUUGGGUUAGACAACCUUGGGCCGGGGUCCGUUCUCACCACAUUUCUAAAAGACCUUCUACAGGUCUGUGAUAUGGGUUGUAUCAUGUAGACUUUGUGUAGUGCUAGGAGUCUCCACAAGAUAUUGUUUGGCUAUCUCUGUUGCUGUUUGGGGUGGUGUCCAUGUUCCACGUGGAGCUUCGUUUGCCUGAUGCGGUUGGAGUUGGUGUGGUGGUGAACAUUGGUCCUUUCCUUUCUGCAAGCUUGAUCCAGCUCCACAGGAUACGCAGCUUACUCCAGCUUCACAGGAUACGCAGCCUGAUCCAGCUUUACAAGAUACCCAGUUUAUUCCGGCUUCACAGGAUACGCAGCUUACUUUAGCUUCACAGGAUACUAUGGCUCAUACAGAUUCACGGGAUACGCAGCUUACUCCAGCUUCACAGGAUACGCAGCUUAAUGCAGCUUCACAGGAUACCAUAACUUGAUCCAGCUUUACAAGAUACGCAGCUUACUCCAGCUUUACAGGAUACCAUAGCUCAUCCAGCUUCACAGGAUACGCAGGUUACUCCAAAUGAGCUACAAGGUCAGAUUCAACAGCUCAUAAAGGACUAUGGCAAGGAUUCUGCCGAACGACGCCAACGAGACGGUUAUUAUUCCAGUAAGCUAAACGAGUUAAGCGAUCUCUGUUCAAUGACUUAGAUGAAGAAGUCCAAUAAGCAACAUUACCUACUGCAGAUAAAUACGCCUUACGACUCACAACAUUAAAUGAGCUGGUAAAGAAUUAUAAGCAAUAUUCAAAAAAAAUACGGCGUCAGCGAGCCGACCUCAAAAGAUACCUUGGCGGAUCCUCAACAAUCCGAAGGACUCUUUAAUCAAGCAAACAGUUUUACAACGCCUCUUGUGGGUCUAAUGGGGCUUAUUGAUCUCGAUAGUACUCCUGGUAUUCAGAUAUUAUAUAAAGAAGAUAAUAUGACCUUGCCUCGAGGAAACGACUCUCUGAUGAACCUAAAUCUGUCUCUACCACCAAUCAGUAUUCCCGAGUUUGAUCACGAAUACCUAGAUUGGCCCCAUUUUCACGAUUUGUUUGUGCAUAAUAAAGCAUACUCAGCCAGCCAGAAGCUGGAUAUUCUAUAAGGUUUACUCUGCGGUGAAGCAAGAAAUAUUUUGACUGAGCAAUCUAGUGGCAGGCGCAGUAACCAUCGCAGGCUGCGACAACCCUAGAGGAAAGGUUCUGCUCGCGACCGCCAAGGUAUAAUUAGAAGAUCCUACUGGUCAACUUAAAAUAUGUCCCGCUGUAAUAGAUUCCGGGUCAUAGGUGAAUCUUAUCUCAAGGAGGAUGGCAGAGCUGCUAUCUCUUAAGGAAAUGUCGUUACCGAUUGAAAUAUCUGGAAUUGGAAGAAAAAUAACAACAGCGACCAAGUCAAUACUAAAGCUAUGGUCGUGUACCUCAGAUUUUAAAACCCCAGUCUAGGUAUUUAUUAUUUCCACAGUCAUUUCAGAUCAACCAUCGUUACCAAUUGCACACGAUCUUGUGCGAGAGAGAUUGUCUUUAGCAGAUCCUGACUUUCGGCAACCUGGACCCAUUUAUCUCACCUUAGGGGUUGACCCGUAUUCUCGUUGAAUAAAUGAAGGAUCUCAUAACAGAGACGUGACAAAUGAUCAAUUUCUGCGAGGGCACAAUUUCAGUCCCCGCGGCAGGGAAGUUGCUAGCAUAAAAGGGAGCGUCAAGCAGCAUCAAGAAGGUUUGGGGGAUGUUAAUCAUACUCAGGAUUUUGCGCAGUCUAAAGAGGGCUCACUGACAAUCAAUAAUUUGUUGGCUGCUUUCUAUGGAUUUCUGUCAAGGGCUGAAAGACAUCACGCCUUAAUUGAGGGUAGUCCAACGAGAAUCGUAAUGGAAACCAAAAUUUAAAA